rnacentral:rRNA from 2 species
UACGGAAGGUCCGGGCGUUAUCCGGAUUUAUUGGGUUUAAAGGGAGCGUAGGCCGCGUUUUAAGCGUGUUGUGAAAUGUAGACGCCCAACGUCUGCAUCGCAGCGCGAACUGGGACGCUUGAGUACGCGCAACGUUGGCGGAAUUCGUCGUGUAGCGGUGAAAUGCUUAGAUAUGACGAGGAACUCCGAUUGCGAAGGCAGCUGACGGGAGCGGCACUGACGCUUAAGCUCGAAGGUGCGGGUAUCAAACAGG